UUGAAUCACCGAUCAGGAUUUCAAGUUUAUCUGGAUCUUCAAUUUUGCCAGGGUUUUUUGCUGGUUUGCAAGUUUAUCCUCGAUUUAAAAUUUAGACCUAUCAAAAUCUGGCUUACUAAACAAGUUCUGGCAGACUGGCUUAACCAUUGUUUUUCCGGAUUUGAUAGAAAAAAAACUAUAAUAUUGUUAUAAAUCAUGUGAUGUGAUGGAUGUCCAUAACCGGCCCGAACCAUUAGAGGCCCAAUCCGCAGGAGAGAGAGGCGGCUACCUUGUGUUUUCUUUUUUUCUUUUUCGGCCCGACCCAUUAGAGGCCCAAUCCGCAGGAGAGAGAGGCGGCUACCUUGUGUUUUCUUUUUUUCUUUUUCCUUUGUGUUUAUGAUUUGUAAUCUUUCUUUUUAUCUAUCUUGUAAUUCCCUAUAUAAAGGGCACACUUUAUAAUUAAUGAAAUAAGAACUUACUGAUUCCAAUCCUAAGUUUUACAACACGUUAUCAUCACGAUAGCUUCUAAAAACCUUAAAGCUAAAAACCAGAAAUCGAAAACCCUAAUCCUAUCCGACGAACCCUAACCCGAUCGCGUCUCUUGUUCCUGCAAGCGUUCCCGUCUCAGCUUCAUCCGAUCAGCUCCAGCCCCAAGGUGUUCCUGAUCAUAGACGAACUCAGCCUCAGCUCUUGACCAGGACAGUUCGCGA
rnacentral:lncRNA from 1 species